rnacentral:rRNA from 1 species
UACGUAGGUGGCAAGCGUUGUCCGGAUUUACUGGGCGUAAAGGGCGUGCAGGCGGUCUGUUAAGUCUAGGGUGAAAGCUCCCGGCUCAACUGGGAGAGGUCCUUGGAUACUGGCGGACUUGAGGGAGGCAGAGGAAAGUGGAAUUCCCGGUGUAGUGGUGAUAUGCGUAGAUAUCGGGAGGAACACCAGUGGCGAAGGCGGCUUUCCGGGCCUUACCUGACGCUGAGACGCGAAAGCGUGGGGAGCGAACCGG